UACGGAGGAUGCAAGCGUUAUCCGGAAUGAUUGGGCGUAAAGGGUCCGCAGGUGGCAGUGUAAGUCUGCUGUCAAAGAAUGAGGCUUAACCUUAUCAAGGCAGUGGAAACUACACAGCUAGAGUACGGUCGGGGUAGAAGGAAUUCCUGGUGUAGCGGUGAAAUGCGUAGAGAUCAGGAAGAACACCGGUGGCGAAAGCGUUCUGCUAGGCCGCAACUGACACUGAGGGACGAAAGCUAGGGGAGCGAAUGGG
rnacentral:rRNA from 1 species